UGAAACGACUGCUAAGACUGGAUAGGAGACAAGAAGGCAUCUUCUUGUUUUUAAAAGACCUAGCAAUAGGUAUGCUUAGGGAGGAGCUUGCGUCACAUUAGUUAGUUGGUGGGGUAAAGGCCUACCAAGACUAUGAUGUGUAGCCGGGCUGAGAGGUUGAACGGCCACAUUGGGACUGAGACACGGCCCAAACUCCUACGGGAGGCAGCAGUAGGGAAUUUUCGGCAAUGGAGGAAACUCUGACCGAGCAACGCCGCGUGAACGAUGAAGUAUUUCGGUACGUAAAGUUCUUUUAUUAGGGAAGAAUAAAUGAUGGAAAAAUCAUUCUGACGGUACCUAAUGAAUAAGCCCCGGCUAACUAUGUGCCAGCAGCCGCGGUAAUACAUAGGGGGCAAGCGUUAUCCGGAAUUAUUGGGCGUAAAGGGUGCGUAGGCGGUUAAAUAAGUUUAUGGUCUAAGUGCAAUGCUCAACAUUGUGAUGCUAUAAAAACUGUUUAUCUAGAGUAAGAUAGAGGCAAGUGGAAUUCCAUGUGUAGUGGUAAAAUGCGUAAAUAUAUGGAGGAACACCAGUAGCGAAGGCGGCUUGCUGGGUCUUUACUGACGCUGAGGCACGAAAGCGUGGGGAGCAAACAGGAUUAGAUACCCUGGUAGUCCACGCUGUAAACGAUGAGUACUAAACGUUGGGUAAAACCAGUGUUGAAGUUAACACAUUAAGUACUCCGCCUGAGUAGUACGUACGCAAGUAUGAAACUUAAAGGAAUUGACGGGACUCCGCACAAGCGGUGGAUCAUGUUGUUUAAUUCGAAGGUACCCGAAAAACCUCACCAGGUCUUGACAUGCUUCUGCAAAGCUGUAGAAACACAGUGGAGGUUAUCAGUUGCACAGGUGGUGCAUGGUUGUCGUCAGCUCGUGUCGUGAGAUGUUGGGUUAAGUCCCGCAACGAGCGCAACCCUUAUUGUUAGUUACCAGCACGCAAUGGUGGGGACUUUAGCAAGACUGCCAGUGAUAAAUUGGAGGAAGGUGGGGACGACGUCAAAUCAUCAUGCCCCUUAUGACCUGGGCUACAAACGUGAUACAAUGGCUGUUACAAAGGGUAGCUGAAGCGCAAGUUUUUGGCGAAUCUCAAAAAAACAGUCUCAGUUCGGAUUGAAGUCUGCAACUCGACUUCAUGAAGUUGGAAUCGCUAGUAAUCGCGAAUCAGCAUGUCGCGGUGAAUACGUUCACGGGGUUUGUACACACCGCCCGUCA
rnacentral:rRNA from 1 species